AUCCCAUGAUUCAGACACUUCCUCAUCAUCUCCUUAAAUCUGUCCCUUGCUUUGUGAUAGCUUUCUCCAUCUUUUUGUUGAAAUGUUUGAAUUUUCAUUCUGAUUUU
rnacentral:snoRNA from 1 species